AUUGAACGCUGGCGGCAUGCCUUACACAUGCAAGUCGAACGGUAACGGGCCUUCGGGUGCCGACGAGUGGCGAACGGGUGAGUAAUACAUCGGAACGUGCCCGAUCGUGGGGGAUAACGAGGCGAAAGCUUUGCUAAUACCGCAUACGAUCUACGGAUGAAAGCAGGGGACCGCAAGGCCUUGCGCGGACGGAGCGGCCGAUGGUAGAUUAGGUAGUUGGUGGGAUAAAAGCUUACCAAGCCGACGAUCUGUAGCUGGUCUGAGAGGAUGAUCAGCCACACUGGGACUGAGACACGGCCCAGACUCCUACGGGAGGCAGCAGUGGGGAAUUUUGGACAAUGGGCGCAAGCCUGAUCCAGCCAUGCCGCGUGCAGGAUGAAGGCCUUCGGGUUGUAAACUGCUUUUGUACGGAACGAAAAGCCUUCUUUUAAUACAGGAGGGUCAUGACGGUACCGUAAGAAUAAGCACCGGCUAACUACGUG
rnacentral:rRNA from 1 species